rnacentral:rRNA from 1 species
UACGUAGGUCCCGAGCGUUGUCCGGAUUUAUUGGGCGUAAAGCGAGCGCAGGUGGUUUAUUAAGUCUGGUGUAAAAGGCAGUGGCUCAACCAUUGUAUGCAUUGGAAACUGGUGGACUUGAGUGCAGGAGAGGAGAGUGGAAUUCCAUGUGUAGCGGUGAAAUGCGUAGAUAUAUGGAGGAACACCGGUGGCGAAAGCGGCUCUCUGGCCUGUAACUGACACUGAGGCUCGAAAGCGUGAGGAGCAAACAGG